CUGGAACUCAGUUACAUGACCAUACCUAAUCCCAAAGUUGACCAGCAAAUGUGGUCCAGCUGUGUGUCAGGAAGAAAAGGAAAUAAAUUUGGUGAUCGUCUAGCAGUCGUCCCACACCCACCCUGUGAUGAUCCUAGUGAGGGGUAAAGGGAUGGAUCAGAUUGGAUCUUUGUCCCUAGGGGACUCAGAGUCUGGCGAGAGAGGCAAAACCAUUCAGAAGUGACUGCUAUACAAGGCAGAAGUGACGAAGGCCUGGGUUAUUGCAGACUCGGGGGAGCAUACCUGAGAGGCCCUAAUGGCAGGUGACAGGAGUGGAGUGGCCUGUGACAUCUGAUUGAGUAAACUUGCGAGCUCUUUGCAACAACCACAAGGCAGAGCCAACCAACCCUUGCCCCUUCCAACCCUAAUUACUGCUGCACCAAAACAGCCCACAUGUUCUCGCCGGGUGGAACAGAGCAGAGGAAGCUCCCUUUUGGAAACACAAAUAUGUGCUCUUCAAGGUGAAGGUAUGGUUUGCCCAUUCCCAUUCUCUACCUUAAAUUUCUUUUUAGGAGAUCAGCAAAUUGAGAAUUUGGUAAAUGUGUCAAAACUUAGAAGUAAAAUCGGAACCAUCUGGAGGCAAAAAAGAGCCCAGACUGUGAAAGGGGCCUUCUCUUAUUACUCCUCAGCUUCUUCCUGUCCUGUUAAUUCAUUUAGCAAACAGCUUCUAAGCUCUCAGACCAGGCUUAGGACUGAAUCGGGGGCAGAAAUAAAUCCAAAACUAAUCCUGCCCUUAGUGUAUUCACAGGCUAGUAAAGAAACAGGACAAAAAUGGGACUCCCCUAUAGGGGAAAAAAUGGAACGAGCCAGAGGGGACAGACAGAGAAAAGACUAUAAGACAGUGGCUCAGAAUCCAGCAACUCAAGGACUUACAAAGGUGUCGAGCCCAGUGGCUUAUUCCUCUUUGUGGAGUCACAGAGAGCUUUGAGAAUCUGAUGAAAUUUGUAAAUUUUCUCCUCCCAAGAAUAAGACACAUAAGCACAUGUGAAAAAAAUUUUACUUACAUCAGUUUUUACUUACACCUUAUCUGGGCCAAUCCCUCCAUGUUAUAGUUCUUCAUUAAUUUGUUGAACAAAUACUUAGAGAGCACUUACCUGUUAUUUUUUUUUUCUUUUU
rnacentral:lncRNA from 1 species